rnacentral:rRNA from 1 species
GACGAACGCUGGCGGCGUGCUUAACACAUGCAAGUCGAACGAUGAAGCUGGAGCUUGCUCCGGUGGAUUAGUGGCGAACGGGUGAGUAACACGUGAGAAAUCUGCCCUUGACUCUGGGAUAACUGCGGGAAACUGUAGCUAAUACCGGAUACUUUCCUUGGUGGGCAUCCACUGGGGAAGAAAGAAUUUCGGUCAAGGAUGGACUCGCGGCCUAUCAGCUAGUUGGUGAGGUAACGGCUCACCAAGGCGACGACGGGUAGCCGGCCUGAGAGGGUGACCGGCCACACUGGGACUGAGACACGGCCCAGACUCCUACGGGAGGCAGCAGUGGGGAAUAUUGCACAAUGGGCGCAAGCCUGAUGCAGCAACGCCGCGUGAGGGAUGACGGCCUUCGGGUUGUAAACCUCUUUUAGUAGGGAAGAAGCGAAAGUGACGGUACCUGCAGAAAAAGCACCGGCUAACUACGUGCCAGCCGCCGCAGUAA